rnacentral:rRNA from 1 species
GCCUCMGUAACRGCGAGUGARGCGGCRACAGCUCWAUUUGAAAKSUGGCCKSUGGCCCGAGUUGUAAUUUGMAGAGGAUGUUUCUGGCGAGGUGCCUUCCGAGUUCCCUGGAACGGGACGCCAUAGAGGGWGAGAGCCCCGUACGGKUGGUCGCUAASCCUCUGUGAAACUCCUUCSACGAGUCGAGUAKUUUGGGAAUGCUGCUCUAAAUGGGAGGUAUACSUCUUCUAAAGCUAAAUACCGGCUAGAGACCGAUAGCGCACAAGUAGAGUGAUCGAAAGAUGAAAAGCACUUUGAAAAGAGGGUUAAAUAGUACGUGAAAUUGUUGAAAGGGAAGCGCUCAUGACCAGACUUGGGCCGGUUGAUCAUCCGUCGUUCUCGGCGGUGCACUCUGCCGGUCCAGGCCAGCAUCAGCUUGGCUUGGGGGAUAAAGGUUUCGGGAAUGUGGCUCCCUCCGGGGAGUGUUAUAGCCCGUUGCGUAAUACCCUGGGCUGGGCUGAGGUACGCGCUCCGCAAGGAUGCUGGCGUAAUGGUCAUCAGUGACCCGUCUUGAAACACGGACCAAGGAGUCSUCUUCRUAUGCGAGUGUUCGGGUAUAAAACCCYCUACGCGUAAUGAAAGUGAACGUAAGAGAGAGCUUCGGCGCAUCUCCGACCGAYCCUGAUGUUCUCRKAUGKAUUUGAGUAAGAGCAUACGGSGCCRGACCCGAAAGAAKGWGAACUAUGCSUGUAUAGGGWGAAGCCAGAGGAAACUSUGGUGGASGCUCGCAGCKGYUCUGACGUGCAWAUCKAUCGUCAWAUAUGGGCRUGGGGGCGAAAGACUAAUCGAACCUUCUAGUAGCUGGUUUCCGCCGAAGUUUCCCUCAGGAUAGCAGUGUUGAACUCAGUUUUAUGAGGUAAAGCGAAUGAUUAGGGACCCGGGGGCGCUAUAUUGCCUUCAUCCAUUCUCAAACUUUAAAUAUGUAAGAAGCUCUUGUUGCUUAGUUGAACGUGGGCAUUCGAAUGUAUCAACACUAGUGGGCCAUUUUUGGUAAGCAGAACUGGCGAUGCGGGAUGAACCGAACGCGAGGUUAAGGUGCCAGAGUAGACGCUCAUCAGACACCACAAAAGGUGUUAGUACAUCCAGACAGUCGGACGGUGGCCAUGGAAGUCGGAAUCCGCUAAGGACUGUGUAACAACUCACCGACCGAAUGUACUAGCCCUGAAAAUGGAUGGCGCUCAAGCGUCUCACCCAUACCUCGCCCUCAGGGUAGAAACCAUGCCCUGAGGAGUAGGCGGACGUAGAGGUCGUGACGAAGCCUAGGGCGUGAGCCCG